AAGGUUUGGCACCUCGAUGUCGGCUCAUCGCAUCCUGGGGCUGAAGCAGGUCCCAAGGGUUGGGCUGUUCGCCCAUUAAAGCGGUACGCGAGCUGGGUUUAGAACGUCGUGAGACAGUUCGGUCCCUAUCCUCUGCAGCCGGAAGGAACUUGAGAAAGGCUGUCCCUAGUACGAGAGGACCGGGACGGACGCAGCUCUAGUGUGCCAGUUGUCCUGCCAAGGGCAUGGCUGGUUGGCUACCUGCGGAAGGGAUAAGCGCUGAAAGCAUCUAAGCGCGAAGCCUGUUUCAAGAUGAGGUUCCUCACCGGGUCAACCGGGUAAGGCCCGUGGUAGACCACCACGUUGAUAGGCCGGAGGUGUACGCACGGUAACGUGUUCAGCCGACCGGUACUAAUCGGCCGAGGGCUUGGAUUC
rnacentral:rRNA from 1 species